AUUAUUAUUAUUAUACAGAUAUUAAGUGCUGUAAAAAGUUGGAUGGGGAUCAGGGGCUAUAGUUGAAUAAAUGUUGAGUAAACGGUUUAUCUCUUUCUAGGACUCACCUGACAGAAAAGAUAUCAGAGUCAAAUUUUUGAUCAAUGUUGCAGUGGGAGUGACACCUGAAAUGAGCACAAAUGCUGAAUCACAUUGUCAGAAGUUUCUUGAUCUUCUGAAAAGUCAAGCCUUCACGGAAGAGGACGGGUUACGUUAUGAGGACAUUGCUGUCGUUUUUUGCCUUAAUGGAAAAGAAUCAGAUGAAGAAAUUAUAAAAACUGAGUUGGGAAAAACUGUUGAAAGUGAAAUCACUUUUAAAAAAUGGGGCUUUAAAUGGCCAGAAAAUAUGGAAAUCCCAUAUCGACUUAUAAGAGAGGAAAAUAAACAAUCUAAGCACACCAAGGAAUUUGUAAGAAAUUUCAGGGAGAACAACCCUGAUGUUCCAAUCUACUUCUGCUUUUUUGAUGCAGACACAGUUGAUUUUAAUGAGGUGUUGAGUUCUUACAUAGAUGUAAUCAGUGAGCACAACUACCCAACAGUGAUGUCAACUGGUUUUCUGUUCCCUGAAGACAGUAAGUUCAGAAUACAGAGUGACCAUGACCGAGAAGUGCGCAUAAUAACAGCUGAGCACUUUCCUCUGGGCACUUACUACCCAGAGCCUAACUUCUGUGUGCUUCUACCUGAUGGACGUGACACUCUUCCUGAGUGUUUUAAUGAUGCAGAAGAGACACAAAUGAACAUGGAAUCUCCUGUUUUGAUAAGACAAGUAAAACAACGCAAGGGUUUCUCUGCUGUGUUUGCAAAAAAAAAAACAAUUAUUACACGUGAUUCAAGACAAAAACAUAGUCAUACCAAACCACGGACCUGGGCAAUUAGCGCUUAUACACACAGAGAGCUUAUAAUCACUAGUAGGUGUAAAGAAGAAUAUAUAAGAGACAGGACUAAUGCAUGUGGUAUAUAUUACUUUGCUAUAUCUUUGUUAGGGACUCUUUUAAAGUCAGAAAAGAGGGCACAAGAGAUAGAAAUGGGUGAAUAUUUUGCAGGUGAUGGUGCAGAUAAAGUAAUUCAGGCAGCUAAAGCUGUUCGAGGAUAUCUAAGCCAAAUAAAUGCAGAACAGAAUGAUGCCAGAGGUUUGGAAGAUCCACGAGAGCAAGAAGAGACAGAAGAGCAAGAAGAGCAAGAAGAGUCAGAAGAGCUAGAAGAUCCAGAAGAGCAAGAAGAGUCAGAAGAG
ensembl:lncRNA